CAGAGAUGGGGACAGAAUAGAUGGGGGGGAGGUGGGCCCAUGGCCCCCACGUCCUACCCUGUGGGGGUCUGCCCAGCUCAGGGCCCCUUCCUCUGUCUCUGCUCACUGCUGUGGCCUCUUUCCAUAUCCCCCUGGAGCUGCUCCUCCUGAGGCUGCGGGGUGGGGGCAGGCCCUCCCCCGUUCCCCCCAUCUCCCUGGGGGCCGGCCUCCCUGCCUGGGGAAGGUGGGUGGGCCCUCUGGGCUCAGGUUCCUGGGCUGCGGUGAGGGGUGGGCUCAACCCCACUCCCAUUCUGUCGGAGCCUCUGGGAGCCUCUGGGCUGCCCAUAGCCUCUGCCUCUGCUGGGGGCAGGUAUCUGGCCCCUGGCCCCUGGCCCCUGCCUUCCCGGCCCAGCCCCCUUCGCUGGGACACAGGUGGCUCUACUGAAUGACAAUGUCCAUGGCUAAUCGGCUCCCCCUCAAAGCUUCCACCUUCUGAACAGCCCCACACCAUGGCCACGGUUCCAGAUCUUUCCACCGUGUGAUGCCUCCAACAGCCUGACGGGGGGCCAGGGUGGUGGUGGGGCUGGCUGUGAGGCUGACCUCACCUUCCAGCCUUGACCUCCUACCCCGGGGCCCUGCCCUCCAGCCCACUUGUGCCGGGGUGGGGUGGUUCAGGGGGUCCAGUGCCUGGGCCUGGCUGAUGGCAUUUGUGAAGCGGCUUGCUUAUCUCCUUGUAUUCUGCGCUGAGCAUUUUAUUACAGCGAAUGGAAAACAGGAGAAAUGAAACUGCUGAUAUUAGUGAUGAGAUGCGUCAGGCUCAUCAGCUUAAAAUAACCGAAGCGAGGCUAGAAACCGCCUGACAGCUGGCGCGGCUGCCUGGCUCAGAGAGACACUCGGCCCGACUGUGAAGGGAAAACAUUAAAGCACCGAAACGGUGGAAAAAGAGCAUCAAAGAUGAUGUCUGCGAGGCGCGGCCACGGCGAGGAAGCUCUCGUAUGAACAAAGGGCCACUCCCGGGUCUCAGAGAUUUGUAAGAAAUUACACAGAUGCUUCCUCAUACACUCUGCUCAGUCUCUCUGAAUGAUAGUUUGGAAAACCACAGGACAAUGCCACAACCAGGUUAAUGACUUUGACGUGAUGCCUCGAUCCCAUCCUGAGUCCCUGUUCCUGGCUGACCUGUGCCUAUCAAGGGCUGCACCAUGUCGGCACAGGCGAAGGCUCCUGUGUCCCCUGACAGCAAGGCCGCAGAACGUCCCCAUCACCAGGGGGUCCUCGGGUGCCCUUGGCAAUACACCCACCUCCCUGCUGAUGGCCACGAGCCUGUCCUCCACCCCCAUCACUGUUUCAUUCCAGCGACAGCGUGGGAAGGUGCAGUAGCAGCCUUCCGGGAUUCCCUGGAGAUGCCUCCAGCCCGUGUUUCAGCAGCCGGUUCCUCUGUGCUGAGCCAUCCAGGCCGUGGUGUGGACGUAGCACACCACAAUUUAGCCAGCCGUUCUCCAGUGUGAGUGAGUCUGGGUGGACUCCAUUUCUUGGUGACUAUGAAUAAAGGCCCGGAAGCCCUCUGCGGACGAGGGCGCCCAGGAGGCCCAGGGGCUCUAGGACUGCUCUCCCAGACAGGGGCCUUGCUCUCAGGGGCCUGGAGAAGGUUCCGCUCGCUGGGGGCCCUCCCCUGCUCCUGGUCUGAGAAGAGAAACCUAGAGUUUCCAAGGCACCUGCAGGUCAUGACGCGUGGCGCCCGGCACACUGCAGUGCUGAGAUAGGGCCCCGGGUGCUGGAACAUGAGCCAGCGCCGAUGGAAAGUGGCGGGGGGAGGGGAUUCCCCGCUCGCCCGGGGCAGCGGGAAGUUUCCAUCCGCGCAGGGACGGUCCGGGGAAGCACAGGAAACAGCAGGACCAUCCCGAAACUGCUUCUGCAGUGGGAGGCGGCGGGCGCCAGGCUGGCCGGGUGGAAACGACGCGGUAGCCGCCCGGGCCAAGGGCACCGCGUUGGGGAGGCAGCGCCUGAUUCACAGCCAUUUCUGAGGUUGGAACAGGAAAUGGUUAAUAGUGUUUGCAAAUAAAAACUCUCUGUUCUAUCCUGUUUUCGAAACAUUUCCCAGAAGUUGAAAAAUAACACCCAAUUUAUCUGCCCAAUGUAAGAAUAAACUUUUAAAAAAUUGAA